AAGCAAUGUGAGGACACUAUCUCAAAUAACCCUUAAAUAUGUCCCAUGCUUCAUAUAUUGUUUCCCCAUCUUCCUAAGCAAAGAUUUGGAUUCUAUUACUCAUAU